UUGUGGAUAUCAUGACAGCAUGUCUUGCAUUCUUAAGUUCGGAUGGUGAAUUACUAGGUAAAAAUCAAAUAAAUAUUAUUUUAUUGCCAAAAAAAGGUAAUCCUCGAUUUGUUUCUGAUAUAAGACCGAUUUCACUAUGCAAUGAUGUUGAUAAGAUUGUUAGCAAAGCCUUGGCUAACAGAAUGAAGUUGUGUCUUGUUGAUAUUAUAUCUGAUAGCCAGAGCGUUUUUGUUUCGAGUUAGUCUAUAAUUGAUAAUAUCAUGAUUUGCUUUUGAGGUUAGGCACUUUUGGAAAAGGAAAAUGCAGGGUAAAGUUGGGGUGGUUGCACUUAAAACGGACAUGAGUAAAGCCUAUGACACGGUGGAAUGGGGUUUUCUUCGGCGAUGAAUGAUUAAGCCUGGCUUCUCAGUGGAUUGGGUGGAUAAAAUCAUGCGGCUGGUUACUACGGUUAAAUAUAAUACUUUGCAUGAUGGCUGUAAGUAUGGUCCAGUUAUUCUAGGAUGGGGUUUUACGACAAGGAGAUCCAAUUUCCCCAUAUUUAUUUAUCAUAUGCACCGAAGCUCUUUCUACGCUUUUGGAAAAAUUUCAGUCUGCAGGACAGCUCCAUGGUUGUCAAGUAGUGAGAUACUGACACCAGUUGUCAGGAGGAGAUUUGUGGUCUGUUGGGAGUCAAAUGUGGAGUGCAAGCUUCGAAUUAUCUGGGCCUCCCGUCAAUAGUAGGAAGAAAGAAGAAAGAUGUCUUUUCGUUCGUAAUAGACAAGGUAGUGAAGAAACUCAGUGGGUGGGGGAGAAAAGUUGCUUUCGCAGGCUGGAAAAGAAAUAUUACUAAAGUACGUCGCACAGGCGAUUUCGAAUUAUCUUAUGAAUGUAUUCUUGCUUCCAUUGGAAGUUGUUGAUACUAUAGAAAAAUCCAUGAACAGAUUUUGGUGGAGAAGUGAUGGGGAAAGCGGUUCAAGAAUCCACUGGUUUUCUUGGACAAAGUUAUGUCGGUUGAAGGAAGAUGGUGUCUUCUAUCUCAGUUGGAUGCUUUAGUCUCCAGAUUGUAUCGUGCUCGAUAUUAUGCUGUUGUUCCCUUACUUCAAGUGAAAAUGGGUUCUAACUCAAGUUUCAUAUGGCAUAGCAUUCAUGAAAGUCUUGAUUUAUUGCAGAACGGGUGUGUGCAUCGUAUCGGAAAUGGUCGGCAUACUCCUGUCUAUGGUUAUCCAUGGCUACAAAACAUAGUUAGUCCAUAUGUGACAUCUGAGAAUACAUGGGGUAUGGAGGAAAUUUAUGUGGCAGAUUUGAUGGUAAGGGGGAGGCGGACAUAGGAUGAGGAGGGUUUGGUUUCUCUUGUUACGAGUUUAAAAAAAGCAUUAAUAAAACAAAUGCCGUUGAGUACAAUGGACAAAAAUGAUGGAUGGAUGUGGUGAUGGGGUAGCAAAGGUUCGUAUACAGUUGGUAGUGGCUAUCAGAUUCUCUAUAAAGAAAGGCAGGUCCAGAGCUCCAUUGGUGGGAAUCUAUGGAGUGCGUUUGGAAAUGUGAUGUGCCAAGCAAAAUUAAAAAUUUUAUUUAGAAGCUGUUGUCGGUUGCCUGCCAGUUUUAGUAGCCUUGAAAUCACGGCAUAUAGUAGUGGAAACCAAAUGUCCAUCGUGUGGUGUUGAGGAGGAAAAUGCUUUGCAUUUUAUUUGGAAUUGGCAGGUGGCGCAACAAACAUGGUGUCAAUCCUCUGUUGGGUGGUGGACAGGGGUCCAAAAUGUGCAUGCAUGGAUAUCUACAGUGCUAACUAAUGUACCUAGGAAUGGCCUCAAUUCAGUCUUUACUAUAGCCUGGGAGUUAUGGUGGAACAGGAACCAACUGGUUUGGAAUAAUAAACCAACAGGUGCAAGUGUUAUCUUAAGAAGGGCUAUGAAUUGUGUGCAUGAAUGGCAGGUGGCCAAGCAAAAUAAUGUUGCUUUGGGUUUGUCAUGUGUUCAUAGGUAUCCUAAGUGGAUUGCCCCUGCUGAAGGUAAUGUGAAGCUAAAUAUUAAUGCAGCAUGGAGUGAGGAUAGCAGGAGAGCUAGGAUUGGUUAGCUAUUGCGUGACAGGAUGAGGGGUUAGUUGGGAGGUGGAAGCUGUGUGUUUGAGGGUGUUAUUUCAGCAGUUAUGGUUGAGUUGAUGGGCUUGAGGGAGGCAUUGAGCUGGCUUAAAAACCAAGGGUGUACAAGCCAUAUUGAAGUGGAAAGUGAUUGCCUCGUAGCUUUACAGGCUAUUAAGAAUUCAGUUUCUAUUAUUUCUUAUUUUGAUGCUUUAGUUCAUGAUUGUAGAACUCUAUUGGAUGAGUUCAAUUCAUUAUCACUUUUGUUUGCUAAGAAAUCAGCAAAUCAAUGCCCUCACAGCUUAGCGAGGGCAGCUAAUUAUUUGUCUGGUUUGUUGGAGUAGGGUCCUGUCCCUCUAGCUUUUAUUCAAGAUGUUUUGAUUUUUGAUGCCAA